GUGAGCCCCGCCGUGGCCCUGUCUCUCUCUCUACAUACCCUUGAAAGCCUGAGCACCCCACUCAUGCCUUCCUAUCUCUCCGGAGGCUACGGGCCAGGCCAGCGGGCAGGGCCUUCCCUGCUGUGACAGGAGCCCAGCCAGGAUACGGCAAUGGAAAUGCGCUGGGAGCCCGGCCAGCUGAGGCUGCCGGACCAGGCCCUGAGGCGCUGCAGCUCAGAACAGCUAUGGACCAGG